CCCUGCGCAAGGGAUCUUUUGGCUCGCUGUGCGAUGAAGGGCGCGGCGGCAAGCGAUAUGUGGCGGAGCGGCAGCAACGAUGCCACGUGCCCGAACGUGCGCAAGCAGGAUAACCCCUUGGAAUUAAGCAUAUGAGUAGAGGGAGGAAAAGAAACUAACAAGGAUUCCCGUAGUAGCGGCGAGCGAAGAGGGAAGAGCCCAGAGUGUAAUCGCGUGUUAUCAUGCGAGAUGUCGACAGCCGAGAGAACCGAUCUGGAAAGACGGGCCGCAGAGGGUGAUAGCCCGUAACCGGCGACAGCGAGGGAGUAGCAGUGUUCGGUAUUGCACUGUGAACGGGUGGCAGCGUCCAUCCAAUUGUAAAUACGGCAGCGAGACCGAUAGUGGAUAAGUAGAGUGAUCGAAGAAGGAAUAGACUGAAAAGGUGAAA
rnacentral:rRNA from 1 species